CAAAAAUUUGAUACAAGGUUAUCGUACUACGUUGUUCUUAUACACGAUAUUAAUUCUAUUUAAUUCAUGUUUGAAAUUUUCGAAAACGUCUAGUGAAUAACAUAAUUUGAUAUCUUUAACCAUCUAUAGGUUUUAAGUGCAUCCCAUUUACCAGUGGUAAAUUUGAAGGAGGUAACGAGGCAAUUUUCGAACUUAUAAUUAAAAUAUUUAG